UACGAAGGGGGCUAGCGUUGCUCGGAAUCACUGGGCGUAAAGCGCACGUAGGCGGCUCUUUAAGUCAGGGGUGAAAUCCCGAGGCUCAACCUCGGAACUGCCCUUGAUACUGGGGAUCUCGAGUCCGGAAGAGGUUGGUGGAACUCCGAGUGUAGAGGUGAAAUUCGUAGAUAUUCGGAAGAACACCAGUGGCGAAGGCGGCCAACUGGUUCGGCACUGACGCUGAGGUGCGAAAGCGUGGGGAGCAAACAGG
rnacentral:rRNA from 1 species